UGAACGCUGGCGGCAGGCCUAACACAUGCAAGUCGAACGGUAACAGGAAGCAGCUUGCUGCUUCGCUGACGAGUGGCGGACGGGUGAGUAAUGUCUGGGAAGCUGCCUGAUGGAGGGGGAUAACUACUGGAAACGGUAGCUAAUACCGCAUAAUGUCGCAAGACCAAAGAGGGGGACCUUCGGGCCUCUUGCCAUCGGAUGUGCCCAGAUGGGAUUAGCUUGUUGGUGGGGUAACGGCUCACCAAGGCGACGAUCCCUAGCUGGUCUGAGAGGAUGACCAGCCGCACUGGAGCGGAGACGCGGUCCAGACGCCUACGGGAGGCAGCAGUGGGGAAUAUUGCACAAUGGGCGCAAGCCUGAUGCAGCCAUGCCGCGUGGAUGAAGAAGGCCUUCGGGUUGUAAAGUACUUUCAGCGGGGAGGAAGGGAGUAAAGUUAGUAUCUGUGCUCAUUGACGUUACCCGCAGAAGAAGCACCGGCUAACUCCGUG
rnacentral:rRNA from 1 species